rnacentral:misc_RNA from 1 species
UUAACUAUUUUAUAGUACUCAGACGACAUAUAAUACAGAGUUGUGGUCCUCUGGCGGGCACGAUCCAGCCGAAGCCGGUGCUUGCGCGGCCCACCAAAGCAACAAAUUGAGAUAAUCAAGGGUGAGAAGGACCGGUUUCCCGGCUUCAUUUUUAAUGAUCCUUCCGCAGGUUCACCUACGGAAA